rnacentral:lncRNA from 1 species
CCAGAUUUGUGCUUUAGAAAGGUUGCUGGUUGCAGAGCUGGUGGGAUGCGUUUUUAUUUGAAAAGGAUGGCAUGUAAUUAUCCCCUGCCUCAUAACAUAGGAAGUUAAGCUCUCCUUGUCCUGGAGGGAAGAGGAACCGAUACAGAAUUUCAGUGGCUCUGGACUCAAGGGCCACUAAGGUCAACUGUGAAAGGGUAAGAUUUGUUUUGGGGAGCGAGUAAACUGGCAUGGAGGAAUAAAGAAGGGCAAGAGAGAGGGGUGACUAGAGGAGCUCGCCUGCAUUCAGGGGGCUCUCAGAGGAGCCCUGGAAGCCUGGGUGUGGGCUUAGGAAGUCACUCAAGGAUGGAGAGGCAGUGGCGGAGCCAGCGGAGUCCCCCCACGAGGGCCUUGUUCAGGUGCGGAAGACAGCCUGUGGAUGCCUCCAGUUCUGCAAGAGCCUUCCCUGGCUGGCACCUGGGCUGAUGCAGCAGAUCCUCCUGUGGGUGCCGGAGGGUCUUCAGCCCUGAUGUUGAAGCAUCACAGAAGCUGCACUCUGGGACCUGAGACCAGGCCGGCUCUGUCUGAUGACUCAGUCAACAUUCAGGGCCUACAACCACUGACCUCCCACCAAGACACACACAAGGAACUCGCGCUCUGACCCAGGGGUACAGCUCACCCUUUCACGCGUGCAGGCCUGGGCUUCCAGAGGCUUCCCAGUGUGCCUGCCCGAGGUCACAUCUCCAGCAGGGGCAGCCCUGGGUUGGGAACACGGGCCUCUGAUUCCAAGCGAGCUCCUCCAUUCCUGGCGGCUUCAGGAGAGCUCCUGGGGGUGCUCCGAGGCUUGUUCUCCUCUUCUGUCUGGAUG